rnacentral:lncRNA from 1 species
GGAAGACAAAGUUUAGUAGGAUCGGUUGUGGUAUGGGUCGAUGCAAUGGCUACAAUUCGUACUAAAGGCUAAAGCAAGAAGCAAAGCCACGCUUAGCCCAAAAUCUUCUUCUUCACCUACACUAAACACACACUAGUAAUUAUUUUGUCUUGAGUUGCGUGCUGAUACAUGUAGAAACCAGAAACCAACAACAAAAUCACAAUCCUACCCAUAGUUUCUUCUUUUAUCUGUAGAGACAUGAG